rnacentral:rRNA from 1 species
CCCUUAGAUGUUCUGGGCCGCACGCGCGCUACACUGAUGCAUUCAACGAGCCUAUCCUUGACCGACAGGUCCGGGUAAUCUUUGAAUCUGCAUCGUGACGGGGAUAGAUUAUUGCAAUUAUUAAUCUUCAACGAGGAAUGCCUAGUAGGCGCAAGUCAUCAGCUUGCGUCGAUUACGUCCCUGUCCUUUGUACACACCGCCCGUCGCUCCUACCGAUUGGGUGUGCUGGUGAAAUGUUCGGAUCGCGCAGGUUGCCUUCGGGUGCUUGUAUGAGAAGUUCAGUAAACCUUAUCACUUAGAGGAAGGAGAAGUCGUAACA